rnacentral:rRNA from 1 species
GAUAAACGCUGGCGGCGUGCCUAAUACAUGCAAGUCGAACGAGGAGUCCUUGUAGCAAUACUUGGACUUCCUAGUGGCGAAUGGGUGAGUAACGCGUUGGUGACCUGCCCCGAAGAGAGGAAUAACUCCGGGAAACUGGAGCUAAUACCUCAUGUGGUUACCAGGGUUAGAGGCCUGGCAACUGAAGGAGCAAUCCACUUUGGGAGGGACCUGCGUCCCAUCAGCUAGUUGGUAAGGUAACGGCCUACCAAGGCUACGACGGUAGGGGGCCUGAGAGGGUGGCCCCCCACACUGGCGACUGAACAACGGGCCGACGACACCUACCGGGUGGGCUG